AGUGAACGCUGGCGGUAGGCCUAACACAUGCAAGUCGAACGGCAGCACAGUAAGAGCUUGCUCUUACGGGUGGCGAGUGGCGGACGGGUGAGGAAUACAUCGGAAUCUACUUUUUCGUGGGGGAUAACGUAGGGAAACUUACGCUAAUACCGCAUACGACCUACGGGUGAAAGCAGGGGAUCUUCGGACCUUGCGCGAUUGAAUGAGCCGAUGUCGGAUUAGCUAGUUGGCGGGGUAAAGGCCCACCAAGGCGACGAUCCGUAGCUGGUCUGAGAGGAUGAUCAGCCCCCCGGGACCUGGAAACCGUCCCGGCCCCCGCGGGGAGGCACCGGGGGGGAAUUUUGGACAAGGGGGGCAAGCCUGACCCAGCCACCCCGCGUGGGUGAAGAAGGCCUUGGGGUUGUAACGCCCUUUUUUUGGGAAAGAAAAGCAGAGGGUUAAGCCCCCGCUUUUUUGCCGGACCCCAAAAAAAAAGCCCCGGCUACCUCCGG
rnacentral:rRNA from 1 species